UACGUAGGGUGCAGGCGUUAAUCGGAAUUACUGGGCGUAAAGCGUGCGCAGGCGGUUUGCUAAGACAGGUGUGAAAUCCCCGGGCUUAACCUGGGAACUGCGCUUGUUACUGGCAGGCUUGAGUGUGGCAGAGGGGGGUGGAAUUCCACGUGUAGCAGUGAAAUGCGUAGAGAUGUGGAGGAACACCGAUGGCGAAGGCAGCCCCCUGGGCUAACACGUGACGCUCAUGCACGAAAGCGUGGGGAGCGAACAGG
rnacentral:rRNA from 1 species